GGUAGAGUGGCCGAGCGGUCUAAGGCGCUGGUUUAAGGAUGUUGUAGGAUUAUUGUGAUAAUCCGUGCUUCGUUUGUUUAAUACACCAGUCUCUUCGGGGGCGUGGGUUCGAAUCCCACCUCUGCCA
rnacentral:tRNA from 1 species